AGUGGACUGAUGAGCCCUUGAAGGGUGAAGAUGGAGGUCCGAGUAAGGCCAGCAGAGGGGCGGAGCUUCUGAGUGGCAGCAGUUCAAAAGAAGGAUUCCAAGCAGACAACCUCAUCGCUCGACCAUCAGAGAGUGACGACUUCAGAUCACGCUCGCUGUUCUGUUUCAGAAGAUUUCUUGGUGCCGAGCCAGAAUCUCCUGGUGUAAAAGAGGAUGUUGAGCUCCCCCAAAUCAAAGAGGAAGAGGAGCCAGAGCCCUGUCAACAGAAGGAGAGAGAAGAGCAACUUCCAGUCAAAAAGGAGGAGGAGGAGCUGCCAUAUGGUAAAUAGGAGGAAGACGAGGAGCAUAUCUCCAGUUCUACUGGUGAGCCCUUGAAGAGUGAAGAUGGUCUGAAUGAGGCCAGCAGAGCGGCGGAGCCUCAAAGCGGGGGGAGUAGCAUCAGCUCAACAGAAGGAUUGCAAGCAGACAUUUACAUUGGUCCAUCGGACAGAGAUGGCGCUACGUCACACUGAACUUCCAAUGAUGAUGGUCAUAAGACAUGUUGUGGUGACGACAAACUCUGCAAAUGCUCUCAGUUUGGGGAAACCUUUGAUACCAAGCAAACUUGUCGUGCGCAUAUGAGGAGGCACACUGGCGAAAAACCUUUUUCCUGCUCAGCUUGUGGGCAAAGAUUCAAUUGCAAUAGCACCUUAAAACAACACACAAGAACCCACACUGGUGAAAAAAAAACUUUUUUCCUGCUCAAUUUGUGGAAAAAGUUUUGUUCAAAUGGGAAUCUUUACAAAACACACAAGAACCCACACUGGUGAAAAACCUUUUUCCUGCUCAGUUGAUGCAAAGAGAUUUGUUCAUGCAUGAGCCUUAACAAAACACACAAGAACCCAAACUAGCGAAAAAAUGUUUUCCUGCUCAGUUUGUGGUCAAAGAUUCACUCAAAAGAAAUACUUGAAAGUACACAAAAGAACCCACAGUGGCAAAAAAAACUUUUUCCUGCUCAGUUUGUGGUCAAAGAUUUGCUCAAAAGCACAACUUAGAAAGUCACGAAAGAACCCACACUGGUAAAAAACCUUUUCCUGCUCAGCUUGUGGUCAAAGAUUCACUCAAAGAAAUAUCUUGAAAAUACAAGAAUCCGCACUGGAGAAAAACCUUGAAUCUUGGGGGACCGAACGAUUCAAUUCUGAUUCAGAGGCUCCGAUUUCAUUAUAAUUCGAUUAGUGACGCACCCCCCCUCCCCCGCCCCCCACUAGCUUUAAAAGUUUUUUACAUUAGUACCAAAAAUCCUCUCUGGCUAAACCAAACUACUAUUUCAAUUCAAUUCAAUUUAUUUGUAUAGCCCUCAAUCACAACAGAGGUCUCAAAGGACUUUACAGAGGCAAUAUGAUACACAAUUAGAAAUGAAGCAACAAAGAUGAAUAGAUACAGUUCAAGUCCUGGGUAUCCCCUAUCCUUAAGACCCUCCAUGCCGGCAAGGAAAAACUCCAAAAACUCCAGAGUCAAUUGGGAGAAAAAUGAGAAACCUUGGGGAGUACCACAGUCAGGAGAGAUCCACUCCCAGGACGGAUAGACAGGAACCCCAGAACGGCUAAUGGGAAUUAGCAAGCGAAAUUAUAGUCCGUAAAAAUACAGUGGAGUAAAGGAGCAAGAAGAGGUCCCUCUAGUUGGAUGAGACGGGGGUAACAGCGAGGACGUCUAUCCAGCCAGGGGUCCGGACAGUCAGGAGGCUGCAGCUGAAAAAUAGCCCCUCCCCAUAGGGGAGGGGGGAAAGGGGACACCGGGUGACUAGUGAUGAAGAGACUAGACAACUAGAUAUUAACAUUGGAAAAUAGAAAUAAAGUAAGACAAGUGGUAGGUAGAGUAAGAAAAGGAGAUAGAACUCAGCGGCUGUACUGCCCCCCAGCAUUAUAGCUUCUAGUGCAGCUUAAACUAAACUGUGAGUCUAUUCCGACUUCAACUAGCCUAACCAUAAGCUUUGUCGAAUAGGAACGUUUUAAAUCUAAUCUUAAAUGUGCAGACUGUCUCGGCGUCUUUAAUACUAGCUGGAAGCUGAUUCCAUAAAACAGGGGCUUGGUGGCUAAAGGCUCUAGCUCCGACAGUACUUUUAUGAACCCUGGGAACUACCAGUAGACCUGCAUUCUGAGUGUUCUGUUGGGGCGGUAUGGAACCAGAGCAUCGGUGAGAUAAGAUGGCCCCAACCCAUUAAUGGUCUUAAAUGUAAGAAGGAGUAUUUUAAAUUUAAUUCUAAACUCGACUGGAAGCCAGUGAAGUGCCUUGAGCACAGGGGUGAUGUGCUCUCUUCUAUUGGUUCCUGUUAAAAGUCUUGCUGCUGCGUUUUGGACUAGCUGAAGACCUUUUAGAGAGCUUUUAGGACAAGCUGCAAGUAGGGAGUUACAGUAAUCCAAUCUCGAUGUAACGAACGCGUGAAUUAAUUUUUCUGCAUCGCUUUUAGAUAAAAUAUUUCUAAUUUUGGCGAUGUUGCGCAGGUGAAAGAAAGCCGUUCUACAGGUUUGUUUAAUGUGUGCUUUAAACGAUAAG